rnacentral:misc_RNA from 1 species
AAGUCGUAACAAGGUUUCCGUAGGUGAACCUGCGGAAGGAUCAUUAACACGUAUCCAACGUUAAACAACCCUGUGAACUUUAAGUCCCCUCUUGCAGCCCAUGAGGAACAGCAAUCCCGGUAAAUCAUUGCCAAACAGUUUUGAUUCGGGACCUCUGUCCAAAAGGAGUUGCAAUCGAAGGGUGGAAGCAGUGGCAUGGCUUCCCCAAGCAGUUAGUGAAUGACAGUGUCACUGACUGUGUAAGGAAGAGGUCGAUCACCGACCGGCAGACAUGUCACAGGGUCACCACGCCCCUUAAUCACUCCACUUGAAAAUGCCCCGCCUAGUGGUAACGCGCUAGGUAAAAAAAACCGAACAACUGUUAACAAUGGAUAUCUUGGUUCUC